GGGCCCGCACAAGCGGUGGAGUAUGUGGUUUAAUUCGAUGCAACGCGAAGAACCUUACCAGGGUUUGACAUCCUGCGAAUCUCUUGGAAACAGGAGAGUGCCUUCGGGAACGCAGUGACAGGUGGUGCAUGGCUGUCGUCAGCUCGUGUCGUGAGAUGUUGGGUUAAGUCCCGCAACGAGCGCAACCCACGUCUUUAGUUGCCAGCAUUUAGUUGGGCACUCUAGAGAGACUGCCGGUGAUAAACCGGAGGAAGGUGUGGAUGACGUCAAGUCAUCAUGCCCCUUACAUCCUGGGCUACACACGUGCUACAAUGGCUAGGACAAAGGUUGCAAACUUGCGAAAGUUAGCUAAAUCUCAAUAAACCCUAGCCUAAGUUCGGAUUGUAGGCUGCAACUCGCCUACAUGAAGUCGGAAUCGCUAGUAAUCG
rnacentral:rRNA from 1 species